CUCUGAUUCUGAAAUUGUCAUUGCAUCAAGGAGCACAGCUGAAUUCAAUCGAGCUGACACUGUGGUUUUUGAACCACAAAACCAGAGUACUCCCAAACACAAACCUAAAGAAGAAAGAGAUGCACCGGGACAUUCAGCAACAAUUCAGCCUGGACAGGUA